UGGGGGAAGAGGAUACACUGCUCCUACACCAUAUCAGCCUGCACCACAGCCUAAUUUAUUUCUUCCAUCACAGGCACCACAGGCUCCAGAGACAAAUUUCUCUGCACCUCCGGGUCAACCUGCUCCGAGGCCAUUUGUUCCUGCAACACCUUCUGCUUUGAGAAAUGUGGAAAAAUAUCAACAGCCUCCCACUUUGGGUUCUCAGUUGUACCCUGGAAUUGCAAAUCCUACUUAUCAGCCUAUACAAUCAGCUGCUUCAGUUGGUCCUGUCCCAUCGCACAUGGACUCAGUUCCUGGGCAUAAAAUGCCUCAGGUUGUGGCACCUGCUCCGCCGUCUAGGGGAUUCAUGCCAGUUCCUAAUCCAGGAGCCGUUCAGCUACCUGGAAUGGGUUUGGUUCAGCCUCCCAGCCCUACACAAGCUACUCCAACACAGCCAGCGGUGAUGCCUCCAGCCCCGCCACCAACUGUGCAGAGUGCAGACACUUCAAAUGUGCCUGCUCAUCAGAAACCUGUGGUAGCAACAUUAACUAGACUUUUCAAUGAGACAUCAGAAGCAUUGGGAGGUGCUCGGGCAAAUCCA
rnacentral:misc_RNA from 1 species